AGGAAAAGAAACCAACAGGGAUUGCCCUAGUAACGGCGAGUGAAGCGGCAACAGCUCAAAUUUGAAAUCUGGCUCUCGGGCCCGAGUUGUAAUUUGUAGAGGAUACUUUUGAUGCGGUGCCUUCCGAGUUCCCUGGAACGGGACGCCAUAGAGGGUGAGAGCCCCGUCUGGUUGGAUGCCAAAUCUCGUAAAGUUCCUUCGACGAGUUCGAGUAGUUUGGGAAUGCUGCUCUAAAUGGGAGGUAUAUGUCUUCUAAAGCUAAAUACCGGCCAGAGACCGAUAGCGCACAAGUAGAGUGAUCGAAAGAUGAAAAGCACUUUGAAAAGAGAGUUAAAAAGUACGUGAAAUUGUUGAAAGGGAAGCGUUUAUGUCCAGACUUGGGCUUGGUUAAUCAUCUGGGGUUCUCCCCAGUGCACUUUUCCAGUCCAGGCCAGCAUCAGUUUUCCCCGGGGGAUAAAGACUUCGGGAAUGUGGCUCUCUUCGGGGAGUGUUAUAGCCCACUGUGUAAUACCCUGGGGGGGACUGAGGUUCGCGCAUCUGCAAGGAUGCUGGCGUAAUGGUCAUCAACGACC
rnacentral:rRNA from 1 species